rnacentral:rRNA from 1 species
GACGAACGCUGGCGGCGUGCUUAACACAUGCAAGUCGAACGGAAAGGCCCUGCUUGCAGGGUACUCGAGUGGCGAACGGGUGAGUAACACGUGGGUGAUCUGCCCUGCACUUCGGGAUAAGCCUGGGAAACUGGGUCUAAUACCGGAUAGGAGCCAUUUUUAGUGUGAUGGUUGGAAAGUUUUUUCGGUGUAGGAUGAGCUCGCGGCCUAUCAGCUUGUUGGUGGGGUAAUGGCCUACCAAGGCGGCGACGGGUAGCCGGCCUGAGAGGGUGGACGGCCACAUUGGGACUGGGAUACGGCCCAGACUCCUACGGGAGGCAACAGUGGGGAAUAUUGCACAAUGGGCGCAAGCCUGAUGCAGCGACGCCGCGUGGGGGAUGACGGCCUUCGGGUUGUGAACUCCUUUCGCUAGGGACGAAGCUUUUUGUGACGGUACCUAGAUAAGAAGCACCGGCUAACUACGUG